GACGAACGCUGGCGGCGUGCCUAAUACAUGCAAGUUGAGCGCUGAAGGUUGGUACUUGUACCGACUGGAUGAGCAGCGAACGGGUGAGUAACGCGUGGGGAAUCUGCCUUUGAGCGGGGGACAACAUUUGGAAACGAAUGCUAAUACCGCAUAAAAACUUUAAACACAAGUUUUAAGUUUGAAAGAUGCAAUUGCAUCACUCAAAGAUGAUCCCGCGUUGUAUUAGCUAGUUGGUGAGGUAAAGGCUCACCAAGGCGAUGAUACAUAGCCGACCUGAGAGGGUGAUCGGCCACAUUGGGACUGAGACACGGCCCAAACUCCUACGGGAGGCAGCAGUAGGGAAUCUUCGGCAAUGGACGAAAGUCUGACCGAGCAACGCCGCGUGAGUGAAGAAGGUUUUCGGAUCGUAAAACUCUGUUGAUAGAGAAGAACGUUGGUGAGAGUGGAAAGCUCAUCAAGUGACGGUAACUACCCAGAAAGGGACGGCUAACUACGUG
rnacentral:rRNA from 1 species